rnacentral:rRNA from 1 species
AAAUUUUAAUGUAAACUUAAACAUUACUCUGUAGGGGUACAGCUCUACAGAAUAAGGCUACAACCUUAAUUAGUGAGUAAAUUUAUUAAAUAAUCAUAGUAGGCCUAAAAGCAGCCACCAAUUAAGAAAGCGUUCAAGCUCAACAAACAAAUCCAUAUACAAUUUUUAAAAUUAUAUAAGCUCCUAAUUUAACCACUGGAUUAUUCUACUACCUGUAGAAGAAAUACUGUUAAUAUGAGUAACAAGAUUUUACAUCUCCAAACACGCGUGUACAUCAGCCCAAAUACUAACUGAUGGUUAACAAAUAGAUAAAUAUAUCCACACUUAAUUAAUAAUUUUCUACCACAUUGUUAACCCAACACCGGAGUGUGCAUAAGGAAAGAUUAAAAAAAGUAAAAGGAACUCGGCAAACAAAAACCCCGCCUGUUUACCAAAAACAUCACCUCUAGCAUUACUAGUAUUAGAGGCACUGCCUGCCCAGUGACACUAGUUUAACGGCCGCGGUAUCCUGACCGUGCAAAGGUAGCAUAAUCAUUUGUUCCUUAAUUAGGGACCUGUAUGAAUGGCCCCACGAGGGUUUAACUGUCUCUUACUUUUAAUCAGUGAAAUUGACCUUCCCGUGAAGAGGCGGGAAUAUUAUAAUAAGACGAGAAGACCCUAUGGAGCUUAAAUUGAUGUGUCCAACAAAAUUCAAACCCGACCCAACAGGAAUAAUAAUAUUUUAACUGGACAAUAAAUUUUGGUUGGGGUGACCUCGGAGCAUAGCAAAACCUCCAAGCAAUUCAAACUAAGACUUACCUGUCAAAAUAAUAUAAUUAUUUGAUCCAAUCUCAUUGAUCAACGAAACAGGUUACCCUAGGGAUAACAGCGCAAUCCUAUUUAAGAGUCCAUAUCGACAAUAGGGUUACGACCUCGUGUUGGAUCAGGACACCCAAUGGUGCAGCCGCUAUUAAAGGUUCGUU